rnacentral:rRNA from 1 species
GAUGAACGCUGGCGGCAUGCUUAAUACAUGCAAGUCGAACGGGGUGGCUUGCCACUCCGUGGCGAACGGGUGAGUAACACGUAGACAAUCUGCCUUCAAGUGGGGGAUAACCAGAAGAAAUUUUGGAUAAUACCGCAUAAUGUAUUUGGGGGGCAUCCUCUGAAUACCAAAGAUUUAUCGCUCUGAGAUGGGCUCACGUCUGAUUAGCUAGUUGGUGGGGUAACGGCCUACCAAGGCUGCGAUCAGUAGCCGGACUGAGAGGUUGAACGGCCACAUUGGGACUGAGAUACGGCCCAGACUCCUACGGGAGGCAGCAGUGGGGAAUAUUGGGCAAUGGGCGCAAGCCUGACCCAGCAACGCCGCGUGAAGGAAGAAGGCUUUCGGGUUGUAAACUUCUUUUAUGAGGGACGAAGAACGUGACGGUACCUCAUGAAUAAGCCACGGCUAACUACGUG